AACGUAGGAGACAAACGUUAUCCGGAGUUACUGGGCGUAAAGGGCGUGCAGGUGGUCUGUUAAGUCUGGCGUGAAAGCUCCUGGCUAAACCGGGAGAGGUCGUUUGGAUACUGGCGGACUAGAGGACGGUAGAGGCGUGUGGAAUUCCGGGUGUAGUGGUGAAAUGCGUAGAGAUCCGGAGGAACACCAGUGGCGAAGGCGAACACGCUGGGCCGUACCUGACACUGAUACGCGACAGCAUGGGGAGCGAACGGGG
rnacentral:rRNA from 1 species